UACAGAGGUCCCAAGCGUUGUUCGGAUUCACUGGGCGUAAAGGGUGCGUAGGUGGUGAGGUAAGUCGGAUGUGAAAUCUCCAAGCUCAACUUGGAAACUGCAUUGGAAACUACCUUGCUUGAGGAUUUGAGGGGGGAUUGGAAUACUUGGUGUAGCAGUGAAAUGCGUAGAUAUCAAGUGGAACACCAGUGGCGAAGGCGAAUCCCUGGAAAAUACCUGACACUGAGGCACGAAAGCUAGGGGAGCAAACAGG
rnacentral:rRNA from 1 species